rnacentral:hammerhead_ribozyme from 1 species
AUCCAGAUGACGAGUCCCAAACAGGAUGAAAUGCACAUCCUGGAU